AAUUUCUACAGAGCAAACUGACAAGGAAAGCAUAGGGUGGCUUCGUUUAGUGUUGUUCUAGUUGGUGACUUCUUAAAGCCACCAGAAUCAAGACAGUCUUCUAGAAUAAAUGAUUCUGGUGUGGACACUAAAUGGUUCACUGAAGUGGACAACGCGGUGGCUGAGAUCUUAAAUGUUCCCUUAAGAUCUGCUGUCAAAGGCUUGGUUAUCAUUCUGUGACAAUACUAGAAGGGAGGACCUGAGGCUAAGGGGAGAUAGCUAGGUGAUUAAGGACAUACUUUUGAAGGGAACAGGAGAAGCUGGCUGGUUCUUCCUUCUGCCUUUCACUUUCUGUCUCUUCCUCCCUGCCCCCACUUCCUCCUCCCUCCCCUCUUCCUUUCUGCUUCCUUCUCCCUGUCUCUCUUCUGUUCUCUUCUCUUCCCUUUGUAUUUGUCAUGAGAUAUGUGACAGCAUUUCUUUGACCAUGAACUCUGUGCCAUGACACCCUGCUGCUUUGCUGUGUGCCCUAAGUGAUGGGUCUAAGCAAACCUGGCCUGGAGAAUAUGAAACCGAAGCCCAAAUGCCUUUCUUCCUAAUAAGUUCAUUAUCUCAAAUACUUUAUUCCAGCAGCAGAAGGCUGACUAACACACCUUUUAGUUUUCAAAUGAUAAGGGAGUAUAGUGAUUCGGUAAUUUGGAGCUCUAGCUUCUAUCUAUAUUGAAGAUAUAAAUUUAGUAAUACCCUACUUGAUCUGAUUUGUAGCCAACAUUAGAAGCUUUGUUUCCUGAACAAUAUCAUAAUUUCAACAAUGAUAAAAUACUUAGAAUGCCCUAAGCACACAUGAAACCAUAGAUUUAUCAGGCUGGCUUCUUCAUUUUUUAUAAUAUGACCAAAGUGUGUGUGCAGAGUUCUGAGAAGCCUGAAAUAGCAGCAGAGGGAAAUAAAUAGCCACCUGAUACUCACCAUUAACAAAACAUCGCUUGGUAUUUGCAUACAAGGGUAUAAAAGUGGCAUGCUGAAGGUGGCCACUUCACCCUCCCGAAAUAAUUUCUAUCAGCAACAGAUGUGGGCUGGCAUUGGGGCAGCAUGUGAGCUACUUCUCUGUAAUGAACACGUGCUCCUCUUUCUCAGCCAUGCCAAUCACUAAACCCGUGCACAGGCUGUGGGCCAGUUCUGGUUCCUCUACCGAUUACAUACAUCACCCUGCAUAAGCCCUUCCUGGUUAUGUUCUAGUCUUGAUAAAUGAGGAAGCGGGGCUGACAAUAUUAGGCUGUCUCCUGGUCCUAAAGCACUCAGAAGUCAGUAUCUUCCGGGUAUGGGUAGACAGCCAACAGCGUGUGUAUUUAUAAGAACAAGGAAAUGAAAAGUACGAGCCUUUUCAGAGAUGUUUUAUAAAAAAAACAGUUGAUUUAGUCUGUAGUCAGUAUUCAACCAGACCUCAAACGUGGAUUUAUAACUGCAGCCAAAUCUCUGUUCUUGAAGAGAUACUUGGUAACCAUUAGCUUUUGCCAGCAGUGGCCUGGUCUCUUCUGAGCAUUUACCACCGGGUUACCAAGUAAGAGGCCUUAGGCUUCCUCCUCCCUCUGUCCAGACCCAGCUUGCAGCUUUCAGGCCACACAGCAAGAUGCAACCAAGGACAGAAAGGCUCAAAGGUUAUCUAAGUGAAAGGCUUAACGUUUUCCAAGCCUUGUCACAGAUACUACAACGCAAUCCGCAGAACUUAAUCCCAUCAUUUGUUCAGUCAACAUACUUAAUCUCUUUGGGCAGGCCAUUUUACAAACCAUUUCGGAAAGAGCUGAAGAUAAGGUUCCCUCUCUCUUGGGUUUAUUUUGUAGAGUAGAGGAAGAUAAUUACAGAUCACUCUAAGGGAGCCGUAGGAAAUGGCUAGCAGGUAGUGAAAGGCCAUUAACGUUCUUUAGUCUCACUGUGGUGAUAGUUUUUUGCAGACAUCAGUGCUUUGUCCAAGGCAAGUGAUGCUUCAUCCUGAGUGGUCAGAGAAGACCUCUCAAGACGCUGAACUGAGAGACCUUAGUGAUAGUUAGAAACGAUGGGGGAUAACACUGACUCAAUCAAUGAGUGUUCUCUGAAGAGAACCUGAAUCAACGAGGGGCAGGAGAAGAUCCAGAGACACAAUGAACACCUUGAAUUUAAAGUGCAAGGCCGUUGGGAGGCCAUGUGAUAGCAUAGGUGAAAGACAACAGGGUCUGGAUUCAGCUCGUGACAACUGAUAGGAAAACAAUGUAGAAACCAUCCUCCUAACCUACAUCCCUCCUUAUCUUCCUACUGUGGUACAGUGUCAGACACGCCUGCCACUUAAUGUUACACCAAGCAAAAGCCCACCCACGAUCUGCAAGAGCUGUAGGAUUUAAAAAAUAAAUAUCCUAUCGAUAAUCUUUUUAUUGAUUAUAUGUUAUGCUUAAAGUACUCCAGAUAUACCAAGUUAAACACAAUGUCAAACCAUAGCUUCCACUUCCCUAUAAGGUUUUGUACAAUGUGUACAACCGUGAUACCCUUGGGGCACUACAAGGAAAUAUCCUAGCUAUUCUUAUCUGUGAUGAAAUCAGAAAGGCAGAUUAUGGGAGGGGGAGCCCUUGAGACAGAUCUGGGUUUAAAAUCUGCCUAGGGCAUUUCUAUGCAACAAUAAACAAAGCAAUGUAUUGUCUGGGCCUUACUUCCUCAGCCACGGUCAAACCAUUGCUGUUAGGACGACUUAGUGUUAGCAAUGUAGACUGAUAGUUGCUACUCAAACUGUUUCCGUAGUCUAGUCUCCAUAGAGAUUAUGUUUCUCAUGCAAUUCUGUAAGCAGAUAUUAAAUAAAUAAGUCUUCCUCUAAACUGCCAUCUCUAUAUAGAGGUUAUGCAACUGAAAUGAGGGGUGAGUAGGUAGGAGCGAGAAGAGUUGCCUCAUAACACACUUAGAGAGCCAUUACGACUGUGCAGAUUAUGCAAUUAGGAGGAGGGCCACAAAUGGACUCAAAACAUCUCUUGUAUUACCUUCUAAACAUACUAGGCAGGGUCCAAUCACCUAUUAGUCAAUGGUUUCCGAUACUCGUUCUUAAAGAGACUAUAUUGUUUGCUCAGGAUUCUUGACCUAGAUUGAGGUUAUUAAACAAACAAUCAUGCUUACAACAGUCCGAAGCUAAUAAAAGAGUAUGAACUGGAAAACGAGCUGGCGACUUACGAGAUGCAAUUAAAGCUAGGGGCUACUUAGGAGGAAAGAGGAACACUGCUCACUGUCCUUUUCAAGGCACACACACAGACGCAUGCGUGCACUCACGCACAUAUGCGUGCACAAAUAAAAGUAUCCUUUCCUUCUGUCCCGUACCAAGCUGUGUUUUUGUUUUGAAGCAAUCUGGAGAAACGAUUUAGAUGUUCUCAUUCUCUCUGUAAAUGCAAAGGCAGUUACUGUAGCUACAAAGGAGACUUGAAACCCUGCAUUCUGCAUUGUUGAAGUGGGGUCACUUCACAUGUAGCUGCUCAGACGGAGGACAGAAGGCAGGCAUUAACUCAGCGACCAGGACUUGGGCACUUGGCUGCUUUGGUGUUCAUACUAUACUUUGAAGCAAGGCACUAAAGAAAUGAAGCAUCUGCCCAAGCAUGGAAAUUAAAAAGAAACUCUUCAGUACAUCUCAGGUUUCCAGACACAAGUGCAGAGCUGGGAGGGUGGGAGGGUGGGGGAGAAAAUGUCAUCUGCAUUAGUACGUCAUCACUGGACUGAACACAGCUCAAGCUCUGCGGACAUCUGGUGCUGUCACCAGUUCAGUGUCUGCUUUCCUGGAAGUCUCCCACUUUUCUUUGGCAAACCACCCACAGGAGUACUGGGGCAUCCCUUCAAUCACCUCCCUUGGCCCCAUUUAACUUAAGAAUGUUGGGUGCAGUAGGACUUGGUGGUACCCAGAAGUGAUUGCCCACUCACUACUCAUGCUACCUUAGCUCUCAUGUGACCCGUCUAGAGAGCUUUUGUUUGGUUUGUUUUGAACUCAGCUUCUGCCCAUGGAACAAAAGUGCUCAUUAAACCCCUUCCUGAACCUGGCUCAACUUCUUCCAAAUGCUCGCACUCAUGACUGGCACUUCUGCACCUGCUCUCCUCAAUAGAUCAUUAAACUUCAGGAAACUUCCACAACAGGCUCUACUUGCUCGAUCAGAUCAUCUGCUUGCUCUAAUUAAGUUCUUCAUCCAGCACAUUCUAGAACACUGUGGGAUGCCACCCUGAGGGACUUGCAGGACAGCUGAAAAGCUUUCCAUACCCAUUGCUUCCUCUCACUACUUUCUUGUUCAAGCUGUUGUGACCCUUGCCCGUUACCUUUAAACUUCUCUAAGUUAUUGAAAGAAGAAGCUGUAAUAAAGAGACACCUAACUCUCACAUAUAAAACAUGGUUACUUGCUUUAUUCAUUCACUCACUCACUCAUUCAUUCACUCACUUACCCAUUCAUUCAACAAUUGAGCAUGAUCUCAUCUCUUCCUUAAAUUCCAAUUCUUACAAAUUUUUUCUAUAGCCAUCAAAACCCUGAUGAAUUUCGCUUAUAUAUCAGAGCACAUUCUUUAUCACUCUUCAGUGUAUCACGCAGAAAAGUUUACAUCUGAGGAAUGUGCCUGGCAUAUUUAUGAUAUACUUUCUGAGUAAUGGAUACACAUACUGUACACACAUGCAUUGUGCACACAGCUAGUAAGAAUAACAGAUGAAUGGAUGUCUCUAACUUUGGCAGCAAGGCUAGAUCAGGAGUAAAGGCACGCUUAAGUAUUAAUUGUGUAUGUUGCUCUAACAUAGGGAAGUAACACGAACCACACUAUAGAGAAGUCUGUGUGCACAGCCAUCAAGUGUUUAUUACAUUUUCUACUUUGAUAUAAGGUAUCCAGAAAUUCCCAGAAGUUUGUAAUCUUGCCCCCUGCCAUGAUAGCCACUAGCAUACUCUCUUAUGAAGACCUACUUUUACUAUACACAGUAAAUAGUAUUUUUCUAUUACCUCUGGAAGAACAAAUUUAAAAAGAGACAAGUGUGAGCACACAGCAACACCAUUUGUCUACAACAGGAAGAAAAUAAUACGUGGACACCUCCUGAAGUCACACUGAGCUGUGACAAGCUCUAAAAGUACUAUGAAUCCUGCGUGGGGAAUACUAAGAAGAACUCCGCUAUGUUCAGAAGAAAACACUAUCCAUAAGCAGGACUCCACCGAGAUCUAUGGCCUGCCUAGUGUUGGGCUUCACUUGGAGUAAGUUCUGAAUCGGUGGCAGCCAGAUUUGGGUAUCAUCCUAGAAAAAUAAUCAUGUUGGGCAGCUUGGGUUACUAGGAAGUGGCAGUAAAGCAUUUCCCAACAACGUUAACAUCCAUGCUCAGGUGGAAACUCAGGAAAUGUAAUGAACGAGGGAGGGGGAUCUGAUGGCAUCACCUAGAAACACCCCAUAGGCCACGUGGUCUGAGAGAAGAAAGAACAAAAGCAUGUGCCACCAAGCAGACUGACUAGCACCGAGGGGGUUUCCACAGCGAGACAUCUAGGACGUCUCCAUCUCCAGUCAGGGGCCCUCAGUUAAAGUAUCGGCAGCUUGCCUAAGCCUCAAGCUCUGCCCUAAGAAGGCCUUGGACAGAAGACGCUGAAUGAGCUGUGCCUACAGACUGGACUCUCAAUGGCAGAAAAGGGAAAGGCACAAAGGAUGCACUAGAAGAUGCAAAGGGUUAGGAGCCUUGAUGAUCAAGUCAGACAUAUCUCUUACACUUCAUGUUAUCAGGAAGACCCCCAAAGGGGAGACUCCUGAUUGGCUAAGACAACAUGCGGACUAACUGUUAGGCUCCCUGAAGAGAGAAGAAAAUGGAGUAUUUAGACUCCACUGACAUUGGACAUAAAAUCCUAGAAUGAGUGACAGGAGACCCAGAAAGGCAGGACACAGGCUUAUGUAUUCCAGAGUGUAAUGCAUGCACAGGCACACAAGAAUAGAGUGAAGGCAUUUCUUAAAAUCUUAAGAGCCCACCAGAAUGCUUUCCCCCUUCAUUUGGGAUGCAAGAAUUUGAUGAGACAGGCCUGUGGCCCAAAAUAGUUGUGUGGAGUUAACAGGUAACAAAAGCAGAACUUAGCAACUCCUACGUCACUUCAUUGUCUGUCAAGCUGCAGCAUCGAAAACUAAAGCGAAGGGGAAGUGGAGAGCUUUGCUUUAUUAUUUUAAGGUAAUAAAAUAAUAUCUUUAAGACUUUGUAUCUUAUAAUAGCAACACACACAUACUCACAUACACAUAUGCACACACUUUCUCUCUCUCUCUCUCUCUCUCUCUCUCUCUCUCUCUCUCUCUCUCUCUCUCGAAUUAUGAGAGCCUGAAUGGUGGUUAAGUGGAGCGUCAUAACAGAGAGCCAUGGACCUCAACAGAAGAUUCAAAAAUGAAAAGACAAAAACAACCAAACAAAAAAACCCCAAACAAACAAAAUCCACUGCCCCACCCACCCCCACAUCCAAAACAGCCAGAUUACAUACAUUACAGGACACUGUAAGUCAACAUAUGUGCUUUCUAGUCUCACAGAUCAAAGCUCAUAGUUGCAAAGGACUUAUAGAAAUGGUUUAAACAUGAAAAAUUUGGAAGUUAAAAAGAACAUCUAUGCACACUGAGAAUUCAGGUAAGACUGAGUAGGAUUUAAUUACUUUGAAGGAGCUAUUUCAAUAUAUACAGAAACACAGAAUAUAUUAAAAGGUGUGCCAUUUUACAAAGUCUUCUUUAUAUCACCUAAGCCUGAACAAUACUGCUAUUGUGCCAUGAUUUAGAGGCCAAUAUCUGUCAAAAACCUCAUACAAAGAAAUGAUUAAGGGAUCGUUUAAUGAUCAGAAACCAGUAAACUUCCAUAAACAAAUUGUCUGCUUUUACUUUUUUCCUUUCCUUUCCUUUCCUUUCCUUUCCUUUCCUUUCCUUUCCUUUCCUUUCCUCCUCCCUCCCUCCCAACCUCCCUCCUUCUCUCCCUCCCUCCCUCCCUCCCUCCCACCCUCCGUCCCUCUGUCCCUCCCUCCCUCCCUUCCUUUCUUCCGCCCUCCCCAAUCUCUUUGGAGACAGGGUCUCACUAUGUAGCCUUGGCUGGCCUGGAGCUCACUAAGUAGAGACCAAGCUGUUGACUUCAUAGAGCUCUGCCUGCCUCUGCUUCCUGAAUGCUGGGAUUAAAGGUGAAUAUCACAACACCCAGCCUUUCAAUUCUUUAUUACAAAUACUAAAUAACAUGUGGUGGCUAUGGAUAUAAUGUGGCUCAGUGGUUGGUUUAUCACGUGUGAAGCCUGGGGAAGGGGAUGGGAUAGACAAACCAGCAUCCCAUUACAACCCAUAGCUGUGUAUCCAUGCAGAUCCACAAGCAGGCGAAACCUACUGAAAGGCCCAAGCAUGGGCUGCACUUAAUUUCUGCUUCCUUUCCUUCCCUGGUCUAGUGCCUAACCCUAGGUAUCAGGAUCAAGGCAAUUUGCACAGAAGAGCCAGGCCUCUUCUGGGAACAUGGACUUGCAAUUCAGCAGUUAGGUCAGCUAACUCAGCACCACAGAGAUGUGGGCUCCAGGGUGACACAAGCAUGGCUUGUAUAUGGCUCAAGUGUGUCCCACAGUGACUCAUGUGUUGAAAUCUAAUUCCCACUGUGAGACAUUAAGAGAAGAGAAACAAUUUCGAGCGAGCCCUUGGGAUUCAUCAGGAGUAGGUGAGGUCUGAGUGCAACCCCAUGGCUGAAUUUCACAACUGAAAGAGAGAUACCAUCUCUCUCUCUCUCUCUCUCUCUCUCUCUCUCUCUCUCUCUCUCUCUCUCUCUCUCAUGUGUGAGUGCAUCUGUCUGUCUGUCUCUUGUGUGCCUCUGUCUUCUCUGUCUCUAGGUCUGUCUGUCUAACUCUGUCUUCUCUGUCUGUCUGUCUCUCUCUCUGUAUCUCCCUAUCUCUGUCUCUCUCUGUGUAUGUGUGUGUCUGUCUCUCUUGUGUGCCUCUGUCUUCUCUGUCUCUCCUUGUCUCUGUCUCUCUUACCCCUUCCCUAUCUCUUGGCACACCACCGGAACACUCUGUAAUCAAGAAAGCCAUACCAUUUGUCAAUGGACUCUUGGCCUUGAACCUCAAGAACUGGGAGGGAAAAUAGACCAUCCUCCUUUAUAAAGCUGUUACCUGGCUUCAGAUGUUUCAUUGCAGCAAUGGUCCCCAACCUCCCUAAUGCUGCCACCCUCCAAUACAGCUCCUCACGUACUAUCCUGCAAUCAUAAAAUUACUUUUGUUGCUACUUCCUAACUAUGAUUUUGCUACUAUUAUGAAUCAUAACGUAAAUAUCUGUAUUCCCUGAUGGUGGCUGGCCACCUCUGUGAAAGAUUUGUUUGACCCACAGUUGAGAACCGCUGCAUUGGAGUAGUGAACACUGGACCAACAUACAUGCCAGAGGCAUGGAAUAGCAAAUGGGAAAGACAGACAGACAUAAAAGCCAGUGCAAAACUGGACAGAGCAAUGGAGUUCCUAACCCUGCCCCACAGGUUCACCUCCCACCCAGAAGCUUCCCUGGCAGAGUAUAUAAGUUAGUGAGUAUAUAAGUUAGUGAGUAUAUAAGUUAGUAUAUGAGUCAGCUAAACCCCUGAGUUCAAAUGGUGGAAUGAGGACACACCGGGCAUGAGACAAUCAGAAGGUCAUGCCAGGUUGUGCAAGAUUAAAUAAGGUCAAGUCCUAUACUGAGGCCUAAGAAAGUCAACUGUGCAAACACAACAUGAGAGACAACCAGCAGAGCAAGAUGUGAAGAGAACAUACUGACUGUUGUGUUUUCUCAGCAGAAAGAGCUGCCUGAGAAUGGGGUGACCUGUCUCAGGAGAUGUGGUACCUCCCCAGAGAGGAAGGGAUUCAAGCUGGAAAUGAGACCCCAAAUCAUGGCUAAUGUUCAAUAUCAUCAGAUCUGUGUUGCAAGAAAUGGCUUUGAAGGUCUAUCCCAGCCCCAGAAAUAACUCAUCAUUUACAUAUAUUACAUAUAUAUAUAAUACAUAUAUAUUAUAUACAUACAUAAUAUAUAUUAUAUAUAAUAUGUGUGUAUGUGUGUUUGUGUAUAGAUAUAUGUAUAUAUAUGUAUAUAUGUAUAUAUAUAUAUAUAAUACACAUAGCUAAGUAUAGUUCUUACCCCUCAUCAAAGAAUCUUCCUUUUGUAGCAGAUACCAUUUCAGAAAGCUACAACUGGUCAAAACUCAGAGGAUAACUGCCUGUGGGGUGCUCAUAUCCUGUGGAUACAUCUACAAGACAACCCCACAGCUCAGAUAUGGCAACAAAUCUCCACCUAUGAAAUAUCAACAAUACAGUCAUCCAGCUGCUUAAAUGAGACCUGAAAACAAAAACUCCAGCUGAUAUGCCAAUGUAGAUGGGUGAAAUCUAACAGGGCCUCCCCUCUAAAUAAAGAGAUACGGGCAGUGAACUAUUGCUGAGGGAGGACAAACGAGCUCUUCUCCAGGGAUGAACCCCCCACAAGGUGAUCCAGUACCAACUAGCCAGCUCUAAAACAUACACGUGACAGCACUAAAUGGGUUAAGCUGAUUAUACUUACAGAAUACACAAAUUGUGUGUGUGUGUGUAUUUGUAUAUGAAACACUAAAAUUAAAGAAAAAGAAGUCAUGAAUCUGAGAGGAAGUAAAGAGACAUGGGAGGGGCUGGGAUGGAGGAGGGGGAUGACAUAAUUAUUUAUUUUUCUUUUUUACUUUUAAUUUUGUGUGUCUGAUGUCAUCAUAAUUUAAUUAAAAAAAAUAAAAGAAAACCACAAUUUAUAAGGUCCUGGGAGAACCAGUCGUACAGUGCUGACCCAGCAAGGAAAUUAACACUUAGAACACAGAACCAUGAGCCACCGUGAAUGCUUGUAUGGUACUUAGCUCCAGGGACUCCAGGAGCAAUGCACUUUCAGGAAGAUACCACCAAGUUCCAGCUCUGAAGGAGUGAGUUAGCUCCUAGAAAAUCCUGGAGAAACCUUAAUAAACAACUAUGAGGCUCAGUGGUCAUGUCUUCUUUAAAGGCACUUGACCAUUUUACAACACGAAAACCAGGCAGAUGAAUAAUUGGCUGCGGUGACUAUACUCAUUUGAAUACAAGCCACAGAACUUCCCAAGUAACAUUAUCUGGGGUCACAUUAUUCUCAGGAUGAUUCUCAGGAAUUUGACUGGCACCUGCUUUUUACCUCUGUUGUGCCUUUGCAAUAAAGAAUCAAUAACCUACCUUGAGUCUUUGAAAACAAUACUGCAAUCAUAAAACACACACACACACACACACACACACACACACACACACACACCCCACCUAGUGAAGAAACUAGAAGCCUAGCUGCCAACUAUAAUGGUGAUGGGGUGGGUUAUCAGUACAGUACACACCACAAAUGCUCUGCGUGUCAGAACAACAGCUUUCCCCCUGCACUCCUUACCAAGGAGGAAGCUGUAGGGCUGUGUGUGCACGUUUAUGAAAAGUAGCCUAGCUUCCUGGCAUGCAAAAAGCCCAAGUGCACUGAACCAAGCUAGGAAAGGCAUCAAAGAGCUCCUGCCCCACCUUAACCAGGAGACUGGGUGUGGCACUGGGAUGCCUCUGUGUAAUCACGUGGGCAGGAUUAAACAACCCAAGACUGGUUAGGUAAGGCAACUCAGAGAUCUAAGGGUUAUCUAAGGGUUGUAUGCUCAGGUCCAGGUAGGGCAGCGCCAGCAUCCUUUAGCUUGUCAAGAUGUGGCUAGGAAAGGCGACAGAAACCUCCACUGAAGAUCCAACUGGGCUGUGUGGAUGACAGCUGGUGGGCUGCACAACUUCAAGGACCCAGCAUGGAGCUCGGGGACAUUAAAGCAAUAUCUACACACAUGUGAGGUAACCAGCAGCCUAGAGCAAGGAAGCUGAGAGGGCUAAAGCAACAAAAGUUUCUCACACCAUGAAUACACGCUGCCUAGUGCAGAAUGAUUCUUCGAACGCAGUGCAUGUCGGGAGUCCCUCACACUUCCUGGGGGGUGGGGGGCAAGUAGGUUUAGCUCAAUAAUGGUGCCACCAUUUGGCCACAGUCUCCAAACUUGGAGGUUUGGUUUUUUUUUUGUUUUGUUUUGUUUUGUUUUUCAGACAGGGUUUCACUGUAUAGCCCUGGAUGUCCUGGAACUCACUUUGUAGACCAGGCUGGCCUCAAACUCAGAAAUCCGCCUGCCUCUGCCUCCGGAGUGCUGGCAUUAAAGGCGUGCGCCAAUUUUCGACACUACAUUUUUACUAGCGCAAAUCAGCUGGACUCUCCUUCAAGCUUUAGCCUCAGUAUGCCCGUUUACCACCAUCUCUAUGGACAGCCCUGGAGUCCAGGUCACUUCCAUCUCCCGUUUCAAUCCAAGCUGGUAGACGUGUUCCUGGCAGUUAUUAGCUGUGGCCAAAGAAAACUGGUAUUCGCAGGAAAUUAACAGGGACUUGUGCAAGGCCACGCUGCUUUCAAAAGGGCCAAGAGCAUUAUCAUGGCAGGUUUGGAGGGAAUUAAUUCUAAGUGCCUCGUUUAAUUUUCUUUCAAGGGAAUUCUUUAUAAGACACCAGUGUGAGAUGGUAAACUCACCAUCUCAACUCACUCUGUAUGGUGUUGGACACCUGAGCAUGGAGCCUGCCCUGGAGUGGGGCUGAGAUGCCAGUGACUGAUUUUUGCUUGUUUGUUUUUUAUUAGUUUAGGUUUUUUUUUCCUCCCUCCCUCCUUUCCUCCCUGUCUCCCUCCCUCCCUUCCUCCCCUCCUUUGAGAAGGACCACGAAGUUGGAUAAAUGGGUUGGUACGAAGGAUGUGGGAGGGGCUGGGUAAAAGGAAAGAAUAUGAUCAAAAUAGAGAGUAUGGAAAACUUUUAACUAAAAAAUCUUUUUCAAAUGCUAAAGAGAAACAGGAGAGUACCACCUGAAGGAGAGCCUCAGGGGUGCAUCACAGUACAAAUGCACUCUAUUGUCUGUGGUUUCCAUGACCAACAGCUGCCAGCGAACAGACAAAACACACAAGAAGCCCAAACAGAAAAGAGGCCAUCAUUCAUUUGCUUCAGUGAAUGUUUUUAAAAAGACAUUUCCAAUUGGACAAUAUAGAAAGAUACCUGACAUAAAGACCACUAUUAAGCUCAGGGUAAAAGCUCUGGUCUUUAGUAUUAAUCAACAUUCAAAUAUAUAGGAGAGUGUUUCACGAGCCCCAGUAAUAAGUUCCUUGGGGAAAGUGACUUAUUAAGACCAGAGGAGAUUCUACUUGGCAUCUGGGGAAAUUAAGAGGGUUUUUUUUUUUUCCUUUGCUAAUUAGAUUCACGUUGUAGUUAACAAAAAGUCAACCUGUGUGAUGAUUUUUCUUUUUACUGA